UUGGGCUUCUUUGGACCUAAGUUCCUGUGGUGUAAUCAUCAGGAUGUGGAUAGCCAUGUGAAGGUUCGCCUUGACAGAGCGGUGGCCAAUGGAGCUUUCACUCAGUUGUUUGAUGGUUGCUCUGUGGAGAAUAUCAUUACUACCACCUCGAAUCAUUAUGCCGUACUGAUCCAACUCUCACAAGAAAAUUCUUCAAGGCACUCUACGCCGGUUCAGUAGUGCUUUAAAUAUGAAGCUAUGUGGCUAAGAGCGAAGGACUAUAAGGAGACCAUGGAGCAAGCCUGGGAAGAUGGUAGAGAUGGUUCUUUGUCUUUACAAUCCACUUGGUCAAAUCUGAACCAGUUGGCGGGUUGUCUUUGGACGUGGAGCAGGGACUCCUUUGGCUGCGCGCGUAAGCAAAUCCAAAAACUAGAGCGAAGACUCAAGACAAUCCGGUCCUCUCUUGUAUCGGAGGCCAUGCUGAUCAAAGAGAAAACCAUUGAAGGUCGCGUUUGUGAGCUGUUUGAUCGGGAAGAGAUGAUGCAGCACCAGCGUUCUUGGGUGGACUGGCUUCAUGAAGGGAACAGAAACACCGUUUUUCAUGCCCGGUUUGCUGCGAGGCGUCGAGGUAAUAAAAUUUCUGCUUUAGUGCAUGAUGAUGGCUCUAUUUGUGACUCGCAGGGUGAGAUGAAAAGUAUGGUUCCAAGUUUCUAUGAUAAACUAUUCAUGUUUGAACCUUGUGCUGCGAUGGAUGAUGUUUUGGAAUCCAUUCUAUGGAAAGUAUCUCCAGAAAUGAAUGAGGAUCCGUGCAGACCGACACCAAUGAGGAGAUCAAAACAACCUUAUUUUUAG
rnacentral:rRNA from 1 species